CACUCGUGGAUCAGUGGCGAACGGGUGAGUAACACGUGAGUAACCUGCCCAUCACUCUGGGAUAAGCGCUGGAAACGGCGUCUAAUACUGGAUACGACCAACCCUUGCAUGGGGUGUUGGUGGAAAGAUUUAUCGGUGGUGGAUGGACUCGCGUCCUAUCAGCUUGUUGGUGGGGUAAUGGCCUACCAAGGCGACGACGGGUAGCCGGCCUGAGAGGGCGACCGGCCACACUGGGACUGAGACACGGCCCAGACUCCUACGGGAGGCAGCAGUGGGGAAUAUUGCACAAUGGGCGAAAGCCUGAUGCAGCGACGCCGCGUGAGGGAUGACGGCCUUCGGGUUGUAAACCUCUUUCAGCAGGGAAGAAGCUUUUGUGACGGUACCUGCAGAAGAAGCACCGGCUAACUACGUGCCAGCAGCCGCGGUAAUACGUAGGGUGCGAGCGUUGUCCGGAAUUAUUGGGCGUAAAGAGCUUGUAGGCGGUUUGUCGCGUCUGCUGUGAAAAUCUAGGGCUUAACCCUGGACGUGCAGUGGGUACGGGCAGACUAGAGUGUGGUAGGGGAGACUGGAAUUCCUGGUGUAGCGGUGGAAUGCGCAGAUAUCAGGAGGAACACCGAUGGCGAAGGCAGGUCUCUGGGCCAUUACUGACGCUGAGAAGCGAAAGCAUGGGGAGCGAACAGGAUUAGAUACCCUGGUAGUC
rnacentral:rRNA from 2 species